rnacentral:rRNA from 1 species
CGGAAGAGAUAAGUGCUGAAAGCAUCUAAGCACGAAACUUGCCCCGAGAUGAGUUCUCCCUGACCCUUUAAGGGUCCUGAAGGAACGUUGAAGACGACGACGUUGAUAGGCCGGGUGUGUAAGCGCAGCGAUGCGUUGAGCUAACCGGUACUAAUGAACCGUGAGGCUUAACCUU